CUAAGGAUGGUUCUUCAGAAGCUUGCUUCUAUCGAACCGUUUUAGAAACAUCAGUGGCCAACGGUCGUCAGGAUCGUUGAGCUGCAUUGGCGGGAUUUCGCCGUCUUCGUUUCUCUUUCUUCGCGGACGAACACGCGCUGGGGCUGCAACCUUGCAGAAUCCCUGGUCCUUGACUGGAUAUGCGUUAGGGGCUUGUAGCUCAGUUGGUUAGAGCGCGCGCUUGAUAAGCGUGAGGUCGGAAGUUCAAGUCUUCCCAGGCCCACCACACUCAUCGAGUGAGCAUUCGUCUUCUGGUUACGGGGCCAUAGCUCAGCUGGGAGAGCGCGUGCUUUGCAAGCAUGAGGUCGUCGGUUCGAUCCCGUCUGGCUCCACCAGAUGGUUUGAUCAUCGACUGAUCGUGCACCUGAAAUCGUCCGCGAAACAUCACUUCGCACCCACUAGUCCGGAUGGACAGUGACGUGCGUGAUUUCUGACAUCGUAAAGAGGAGAUCGAUCCGAGUUGGAUCGUGCAGCAAGCAAUUGCUACGCGAUACUUCAUUAUCUCCGGAUCAUUUCGGCGCUCGUGCGUCUUCCAGGGUAGCUCACAAGGCUGCAUUGAAAGACAAGCGAGUUGUAAAUGAUCCUUUUAGCGAAGCUUGACCGCCUCGCUAUCGGAACGAUCUUACGAAGCAAGCUGGUCUUUCUAAUCAUUGUCCGGCUGCAGAUAGCGUUCAUCGAGGGCGCGUGCCGCAAGGCAAUUCUGCAGACAACAUUCUGCCGAGUGUGUGGACAUUGAUAAUGAGAGC
rnacentral:tRNA from 1 species